rnacentral:lncRNA from 1 species
CCAUGUGUUCCUAUGGCCGCCAUUUGUUCCCAUGUGUCCCCACAUGUCCCCAUGUGUCCCCACGUGUCCUCACAUGUUCUCACAUGUCCCCAUCUGUCCCCGUAUGUUCUCACAUGUCCUCACUAUCCCCCCACAUCCCUAUGUGUCCCCACAUGUCCCGUGUCCUCACAUGUGCCCACAUCUCCCCACGUGUCCCUACGUGUCCUCACAUGUGCUCACAUGUCCCCACAUGUCCCCAUGUGUCCCCACGUGUCCUCACAUGUCCCCAUGUGUCUCCAUGUGUUCCUAUGGUCGCCAUUUGUUCCCAUGUGUCCCCACACGUCCCCACAUGUCCUCACGUCUUCACACGUCCCCAUGUGUCCCCACGUGUCCUCACAUGUCCCCACGUGUCUCCAUGUGUUCCUAUGGUCACCAUUUGUUCCCACGUGUCCCCACACGUCCCCACGUGUCCUCACAUGUCCUCAUAUGCCCCCAUGUGUCCACACAUG